rnacentral:sRNA from 1 species
GUUUAGUGCGUUAGGGAUUGAAGCGGCAUCUUUUUCUAUGCUGAAGUUUUGAAUUUAAGUAUGAAAAUUGAUUAGAAAAAAUACAGCUGAAAGCCCGCUCGAAC